rnacentral:rRNA from 1 species
GUCCAGCCCGCUCAGAAACUUAAAGGAAUUGACGGGGGCCCGCACAAGCGGAGGAACAUGUGGUUUAAUUUCGAUGAUACGCGAGGAACCUUACCCGGGCUUGAAAUGCAUCUGACCGGCCUUGAAAGAGGCACUCCCUUCGGGGCAGAUGUGUAGGUGCUGCAUGGUUGUCGUCAGCUCGUGCCGUGAGGUGUCGGCUUAAGUGCCAUAACGAGCGCAACCCUCAUCAUUAGUUACCAUCAGGUAAGGCUGGGGACUCUAAUGAGACUGCCAUCGUAAGAUGUGAGGAAGGUGGGGAUGACGUCAAAUCAGCACGGCCCUUACGUCCGGGGCGACACACGUGUUACAAUGGGUGGUACAAAGGGCAGCUACCUGGCGACAGGAUGCUAAUCUCGAAAACCGCUCUCAGUUCGGAUCGGAGUCUGCAACUCGACUCCGUGAAGCUGGAUUCGCUAGUAAUCGCGCAUCAGCCACGGCGCGGUGAAUACGUUCCCGGGCCUU